rnacentral:rRNA from 1 species
CCUACGGGGGGCAGCAGUGAGGAAUAUUGGUCAAUGGACGAGAGUCUGAACCAGCCAAGUCGCGUGAAGGAUGACUGCCCUAUGGGUUGUAAACUUCUUUUAUAUGGGAAUAAAACGUUCCACGUGUGGGAUUUUGUAUGUACCAUAAGAAUAAGGAUCGGCUAACUCCGUGCCAGCAGCCGCGGUAAUACGGAGGAUCCGAGCGUUAUCCGGAUUUAUUGGGUUUAAAGGGAGCGUAGGUGGAUUGUUAAGUCAGUUGUGAAAGUUUGCGGCUCAACCGUAAAAUUGCCGUUGAAACUGGCAGUCUUGAGUAGAGUAGAGGUGGGCGGAAUUCGUGGUGUAGCGGUGAAAUGCUUAGAUAUCACGAAGAACUCCGAUUGCGAAGGCAGUUCACUGGACUCCAACUGACACUGAGGCUCGAAAGUGUGGGUAUCAAACAGGAUUAGAUACCCUUGUAGUC